GGUUGAUCCUGCCAGUAGUCAUAUGCUUGUCUCAAAGAUUAAGCCAUGCAUGUCUAAGUAUAAGCUUGUUUAUACGGCGAGACUGCGGAUGGCUCAUUAAAUCAGUUAUAGUUUAUUUGAUGGUCUCUUUUCUAUUUUUUACCUACUUGGAUAACCGUGGUAAUUCUAGAGCUAAUACAUGCGCAAGGUCCCGAGCGCGAGGGACGGGGUCUCACGGCUUCGUCUCUGCAUGCGCAGAGGGAUGUAUUUAUUAGGUUAAAAACCAGCAGCGUCAGCAAUGGCGUUCACACAA
rnacentral:rRNA from 1 species